CAUCUGCACCCAUUUGAAAUCACGAGAAACAACUUCUCAUUAAUUUUCUCGCAUGCAGAAGCCAUCCCAUGCCCCUCCAUUUGUGCACCAUUUGGGUGGAUAAAGAUGGUUGGUUGGCCAUUCAAAUUCAAAUGAAGUUUGAAUUUGAAUGGGCAACUAAUCCAUGCGCCACCUAGUCUUAUCCUUUUAUGUGCCAUUUGCUUUACAC
rnacentral:lncRNA from 1 species